AGAGUUUGAUCAUGGCUCAGGAUGAACGCUGGCGGCGUGCCUAAUACAUGCAAGUCGAGCGGUAAGGCUUUCACUCUGUAUUUAAUGAGUUGAAUAUAGUGUGAAAGUACACGAGCGGCGACGGCUGAGUAACGCGUAGGAACGUACCCCAAAGUGAGGGAUAAGCACCGGAAACGGUGUCUAAUACCGCAUGUGAUCUUCGGAUUAAAGCUUUAUGCGCUUUGGGAGCGGCCUGCGUAAGAUUAGUUUGUUGGUGAGGUAAUGGCUCACCAAGACUACGAUCUUUAGCUGGUCUGAGAGGAUGAUCAGCCAGACUGGGACUGAGACACGGCCCAGACUCCUACGGGAGGCAGCAGUAGGGAAUUUCCACAAUGGACGAAAGUCUGAUGGAGCAACGCCGCGUGCAGGAUGAAGGCCUUCGGGUUGUAAACUGCUUUUAUCUGUGACGAUUAUGACGGUAGCAGAUGAAUAAGGAUCGGCUAACUCCGUG
rnacentral:rRNA from 1 species